GAUGAACUAGGGGUAAGGACUUUGCUUUUUUCCAGUAUCGUCUUACGAAUCUUCUUGGUUCUUGAAGUAACCAAAAGAAUAAUAGAAUCCGUGAUACCUGUUAAUGUCACAAGUCCCAUAGAACACCAUAAAAAGAUCAUAGCCUUUUUGCCUAGAGAUGCAGUAACUCGAUUUUGUGUUCCAUUUCCAACAGCCAUCACAAAAGAGGAGACAGCAACGUGAGCAAACAAAGCAGUUACUAGUAUACUAAAAAAGGAGAAAAAAGAAAGGCUUAUACGAAUGUUUCUCAGGAAUUCCAAACGCCCUAUUAAGGGAAGGCUGGAAACAACACCCAUAAGAAAUGAAACACCGCAUACGCAAAAUGAAAAGACAAUCAUCCAAGGGUGAACUUCAUUGAUUAGAAAUUUAGACCUUACAUCCGUUAAGCUAAUGGAAGUCAACCCAGGACAACCAGUAAAUUGAGGUUUGCAGAUCAGCGUCGCAUUAGCAGAAAGUACACACAUGUUAAAAUACCCAACGUUAAUUUGGGCUACGUUAGUUGCAAGAGAAAACAACUGGAAUUUCGAGGUGGUACUAGAUUGGCAACCUGUCAUUACUAGUGCAAGUAAAAUCCAUGCAGCUAAUGUGCAAAGAGUUCCAGUUCCUUGUACAACUGAAUGAAGAAACAGCAUGGUGAUUAAAUGUAGAUGUUUGUUUGUCCUUGAUACAAAAACUCUUUUCGUCAACUGGUUUUUUUGAAUGAAUAGGUUGAAUGUUUUUUAAAAAAAGGUAAAUUAUUUGACGUUCGUGAAAGCCUUCAGUAAGCAAAAAUAUAGGCAAAUCCUGAAGUAAAAUUAAGGAGAUUUAAUCACAACAGAAUUAUCUCAAAUGGCUUUUUGCGAUGCUAUGAAGGGAAGUAGCUUGAAAAGACGAACAAGGAAGAUCCAAGCCAGGUUUUAAAGUAAACAAAAAAAUUAUUAAUGACAUAAUAUAUUUCUAAGCUUUCUUUCAAAAAUCUGCUUUUUUCAUUGUCUUCGUGUUUUCUUUGUUCCCGAGAACAAAGAGUUCGUCAAUGGUCAUUCGACUCUAUGAGGAAUACGCAGCGGGCAUAUCUUUGAGAAAAAAAAGUUUCCAUAGCAAAAGCCCCAAGGUAUGAUGUUUCUUGUCGCAAGGAACAAAAAAAUAUUUAGAUCCCACUGGUAGCGUAUGACUCAAUUGCGAUUUUAAAAAGGGCUCGGGCAGUAUUUGUAACAACGAUAUAAACGAUUGACGAGGAU